rnacentral:rRNA from 1 species
UACGUAGGCGGUUCGACAAGUGGGAUGUGAAAGCCCAGGGCUUAACCUUGGAAUUGCAUUCCAAACUGUCGGGCUAGAGUAUGGUAGAGGGAGGUAGAAUUUCCUGUGUAGCGGUGAAAUGCGUAGAUAUAGGAAGGAAUACCGGUGGCGAAGGCGGCCUCCUGGACCAAUACUGACGCUGAGGUACGAAAGCGUGGGGAGCAAACAGGAUUAGAUACCCUGGUAGUCC